rnacentral:rRNA from 1 species
AGAGUUUGAUCCUGGCUCAGAUUGAACGCUGGCGGCAUGCUUUACACAUGCAAGUCGAACGGUAACAGGGUGCUUGCACCGCUGACGAGUGGCGAACGGGUGAGUAAUGCAUCGGAAUGUACCGUGUAAUGGGGGAUAGCUCGGCGAAAGCCGGAUUAAUACCGCAUACGCCCUGAGGGGGAAAGUGGGGGACCGUAAGGCCUCACGUUAUACGAGCAGCCGAUGUCUGAUUAGCUAGUUGGUGGGGUAAAGGCUCACCAAGGCUUCGAUCAGUAGCGGGUCUGAGAGGAUGAUCCGCCACACUGGGACUGAGACACGGUCCAGACUCCUACGGGAGGCAGCAGUGGGGAAUUUUGGACAAUGGGCGCAAGCCUGAUCCAGCCAUGCCGCGUGUCUGAAGAAGGCCUUCGGGUUGUAAAGGACUUUUGUCCGGGAGCAAAUCCCAGUGGUUAAUACCCUACUGGGGCUGAGAGUACCGGAAGAAUAAGCACCGGGCUAACUACGUGCCCAGCAGCCGCGGUAAUUACGUUAGGGUG